AUUGAACGAUGGCGGCAGGCUUAACACAUGCAAGUCGAGCGAGCGGCGGACGGGUGAGUCAUGUCUGGGAAACUGCCUGAUGGAGGGGGAUAACUACUGGAAACGGUAGCUAAUACCGCAUACCAUCAGAUGUGCCCAGAUGGGAUUAGCUAGUAGGUGUGGUAAUGGCUCACAUAGGGGACGAUCCCUAGCUGGUCUGAGAGGAUGACCAGCCACACGGGAACUGAGACACGGUCCAGACUCCAACGGUAGGCAGCAGUGGGGAAUAGUGCACAAUGGGCGCAAGCCUGAUGCAGCCAUGCCGCGUGUGUGAAGAAGGCCUUCGGGUUGUAAAGCACUUUCAGCGAGGAGGCGUUACUCGCAGAAGAAGCACCGGCUAACUCCGUGCCAGCAGCCGCGGUAAGUC
rnacentral:rRNA from 1 species